AUACGGAGGAUGCGAGCGUUAUCCGGAUUUAUUGGGUUUAAAGGGUGCGUAGGCGGUUUGCUAAGCGGGAGGUGAAAUGCCGGCGCUCAACGUCGGAAGUGACUACCGAACUGGUGGACUUGCAUGACUCUGCCGUGGGCGGAAUGUGUAGGGGAGCGGUGAAAUGCUUAGAGAUUACACAGAACACCGAUUGCGAAGGCAGUCCGCUGGGGCACGUCUGACGCUGAUGCUCGAAGGUGCGGGAAUCAAACAGGAUUAGAUACCCUGGUAGUCCGCACGGUAAACGAUGAUUACCCGCUGUCGGCGGCAGACAGUCGGCGGCCAAGCGAAAGCGAUAAGUAAUCCACCUGGGGAGUACGCCGGCAACGGUGAAACUCAAAUGAAUUGACGGGG
rnacentral:rRNA from 1 species